CCCAGCCUGGGGAGACCCAGAAGGUUUCCCACCUGCACCUUUAGCCUGUGGAUAUGGCCAUGGAUUGCUGUGUGAUCCUGCAGGAUCUGAUUCACUGUCUGCAGGGAAUCUGGGGUUUAAGAUGUUGGAAGCAGUCCAAGAACUGCGUUGUACCCCAUCAAAAUGAAGUUUUCAUGGCAUGAACGUGAAGAUGCUGCAUGCCUUGGAUGUGCCCUGAACACAUACUGGGAAUUCCUGAGGGUGCAAAGUCUCCUGGAGCAGCACAAGCCAUGUUUUCCCCUGGACUGUUCUACUUUCCAAUCACCAUUUUCUCACAUUUGCCAGCCCUGAUCUCUGCUCGUUUCCAGCCCACCCACUUCCAAACCAAACUGCCUUUGGGAGUACCUGCUGCCCUCACAGCAGCUUCCUUGCACACAGACAGUCCUCUGGGGAGCA